GUCCCUCAUGAGGGCAAUCUGUGUAAUUUCGUGUUAAUAAAGCAUAUAAAAAUAAGCUAAAUAAGCCUUAAAAUGUGCGACGAAUCAUGUGUCACUUCUUAUUGUGUAUAAAACCAAAGCAUACUUGCACAACAAAAUAGAAAAUGGGAACAAAAAUUGAAUAUCAGUUCCUCAUGAGGACAAUCUGUGUAAUUUCGUGCUAAUAAAGCAUAUAAAAAUAAGCUAAAAAGCCUUAGAAUGUGUGUUAAUCAUGUGUCACUUAUUAUGAUAAGUUCCUAAAAGUUCAAUUAAAAGAACUUGGCCAAUUCAUCUCAAGUUGCUUUGGGUUUUUCUUGCUCGCAAGCCCAAAGCAAAACAAUCUUGAAUCUUCUGUGACACUCCUUCAUUGGUCCAAGGAGCUUCUUGUCUACUCCAUUCAUGGCUUCUUUGGUCCUCUUGUCUACUUAAUUGAUCUCUUUGUUUGCAACUUGAUCGAGCUGUCUCAUAUCACAUUGCCAUAGAUGUCCUUAAGCUGAGACAACGGAAGCUGCUUCUGCAAAUAUAGGUUGCCUUGGCAACAUAAUUACCAGCUUAAGACCUGCAGCAUAUCAGAGCUUUCUAUACAAAAAAUUACUGCUCAACUUUGCUAUCCAGUUUAUGUUAUCUUGCAUUUUCCUUGUGAGGUUUCACCUUUUUUGACACCACAAGCUGCUUGGACAAUGACUCAGCAAUAAGUUGAUGGCCAAACAAGUGAGAGUUCUUCUGAAUCAAAUUUCUUGUUGAUGAAUCAAUAACAUAGCCUUGACCAGACAUCCACUCCAGUAACUGCAGAAGUAGUUCCUUCUUUUCUGGCUGUGAAANNNNNNNNNNNNNNNNNNNGAAAUAACAUAGCCUUGACCAGACAUCCACUCCAGUAACUGCAGAAGUAGUUCCUUCUUUUCUGGUUGUGAAACGUAGCGUGAUAUAGCCAUAUCAAAUAAUUCCU
rnacentral:lncRNA from 1 species